rnacentral:rRNA from 1 species
AACGAGCCCUUAACCUGCUAAAUAGCCCGUAUUGCUUUGGCAGUACGCUGGCUUCUUAGAGGGACUAUCGGCUCAAGCCGAUGGAAGUUUGAGGCAAUAACAGGUCUGUGAUGCCCUUAGAUGUUCUGGGCCGCACGCGCGCUACACUGACGGAGCCAGCGAGUACUUCCUUGUCCGAAAGGUCCGGGUAAUCUUGUGAAACUCU